rnacentral:snRNA from 1 species
GGGUGUGAGGGUGAUCUGGCUCUGGCCUCUGUCACCCUGCUGGUCACCUGGGUGGAUGAGGCUCAUCUGGCUGUCUGGGCGAGUGUGGCCUUUCUCCCUCACUGUCCAAGUGCUUCCCUUCUGAAGCUGUAUUCUCCAGCAAAGAGAGCAGUCACAUCAUUAGAGGAGGACUACACCACUAGCUGUGCUCUUCGAAACAAGCUCUCGAGGAAGUGGCUCCUGCAGUU